rnacentral:lncRNA from 1 species
GGCCGAGGAGGCGCCGAGAGCGAGCGAGGGCUGUGAGGGUUGCCAGCAGGCUGUCACCUUUCACUAUGAGGGGCAUGAAGAAGGAGGAAAAGGAUGCAGGAAAGAAUUUAAGAGGCAAAGUGGAUGUGAUAAAGGAACGAGAAGAUCAUGAGAAAAGAUGAAAAAGAGAACAGUGACUGACCCAUGUCAUGAAGCAUCAGUUUCUAAACUUUGCUGUAUGCAGGCUCAAUGGUUGGAAUAAAUGCAGAUGCUGCAAAUUGAUGGAGGCCUGGUGUCUUCCAGAGUGGAGGUAAAGGCUGGCUGAGGAAUCAGUGAGGCCAGGAAGAGGGCUCAGCUGAGCAACUGAUCAAAGCAUCCCUCUUCAGGAAGGAGCUUCCUGUGUUUUCUCUGGGAACUCACCUGUUUUCCACUCCAGACUCUCCAAGAUAUGCAGAGCUUUGGGCCAGGAUCCUACAGCCACGGGUCAUGCAGAGCCAGUUGGCCACAUCCUUUGGGCCAAAUUUGGUCCUAACCAGGUCUUACCACGGUAACUGCUAACCAGUCCAUCUUCAGUUAAUAUUUCAUGCGUAAGAUGUUUCAUGAAGUAACUGAAUGGGCUAAUGGGUUGUUCACUGGAUAAGACUCCCAGAUACUCCCUUUCAUGCCAUUCCCCAGAAUUCCUUCACCUCCCAGUGCUGUCUGUAAGGGUGAAGAUACUCCAUUUUGCCCCAUGCUCUUUGCUGUGCCCCAGAUAGGCUCAAACAUUUUUCCCUUUUGGGGAUUUUGCAGGUAGGAAUUGUUGAACAUCUUACCAUUUAAUCCAGAAGUUAUGUCCUUUAAGGAAUCGACCCUGAGCCUGUGAGUUUUACUUUGGGUUGGGGGUGAAGGAGUGGACCUUGCAGCAUUCAAGGUCAUCCAAGAUCAUCCAGUUAAGGCCCCUAAGGUCACUACGGGGGGAAAAGCCUGGUGAGGGAAGAGAAAGCAUUAGGGGGAGCUGCACCGUGCUGAGAAAUAACACCACACAGAAGUCUGUGUUCUAAUCUCAGCUCUGCUUUGCAUUACUGUGUGACCUGGAGCUGAUCACAGCCCUCUGAGUCUUAAAGGGGUUGGACAAGGCCAACUAAACAUUAGAAACACCUGAAAGUGCUGGUUAAAAGGAAGAAUGCAUGAGCUUCACUCCAGAUUUACUAUAUCAGAAUUUCCAGGGUCAGGGUCCAAGAAUCUGCAUGUUUAAUACGCUUUCCACAUGAUUUUUCCCCCCUCUGGACUUAAGAAAACAAUGGGCAAGUCAGCUCAUGAAGAACUUUUCAGAUAUUCAGACUAUUAUUCUGAGAGAGAAAAUAUUGGCAGAGAACAGAUGGGAUUUUUCUCAAGGAAAAGAAAUGGAAAUCCUACAUCUUGCAAGAAAUAGAAAAAAAUAAAUAAACUGUUUGAAGAAGAAUCACAUCAGGCUGGCAGGAGAGAGCCUGCGGCUCGGUGUCUGACCCAGAAUGUUAAAGCCAGCCUGGCUUGGCUCCAGGAUAAAGGACACUCUGUCAGCCUCUCCACAUUGAUUCAUCUCCCCAGCCCCAAGAUCAGGAGAGCAUUCUGUUCCUUGAAGCAUUUUAUGACUGUAAGUCAGAAGUGCUGCAGUUUUAAUAAAAAGCUGUAUUGUCCUGA